rnacentral:rRNA from 1 species
CGUUAGCGGCGGACGGGUGAGUAACACGUGGGUAACCUACCUAUAAGACUGGGAUAACUUCGGGAAACCGGAGCUAAUACCGUAUAAUAUUUCGAACCGCAUGGUUCGAUAGUGAAAGAUGGUUUUGCUAUCACUUAUAGAUGGACCUGCUCCGUAUUAGCUAGUUGGUAAGGUAACGGCUUACCAAGGCGACGAUACGUAGCCGACCUGAGAGGGUGAUCGGCCACACUGGAACUGAGACACGGUCCAGACUCCUACGGGAGGCAGCAGAU